rnacentral:misc_RNA from 1 species
UGGUUCUGGCAUCGAUGAAGAACGCAGCGAAAUGCGAUAAGUAAUGCGAAUUGCAGAAUUUCCGUGAGUCAUCGAAUCUUUGAACGCACAUUGCGCCCUUUGGUAUUCCGAAGGGCAUACCUGUUCGAGCGUCAUUAUCCUUCCCUCUAGACCCCUUGGGGUUCGGGCGUUGGAGUCCACGUCGGGUCAAACCAACUGGCUCCCAAAAGUAAUGACGGCGUCUGUGGGACCCUCGGUACACUGAGUUCUUUCGGGAGCACGUAUCGAGUCGCAAGGACCCUCCAGGCCGGUCACAACCUCUAUUUUUCCUCAGGUUGACCUCGGAUCAGGUAGGAAUACCCGCUGA